rnacentral:rRNA from 1 species
AUACGUAGGUGGCAAGCGUUGUCCGGAAUUAUUGGGCGUAAAGCGCGCGCAGGUGGUUCCUUAAGUCUGAUGUGAAAGCCCCCGGCUCAACCGGGGAGGGUCAUUGGAAACUGGGGAACUUGAGUGCAGAAGAGGAUAGUGGAAUUCCAAGUGUAGCGGUGAAAUGCGUAGAGAUUUGGAGGAACACCAGUGGCGAAGGCGACGGGUUGGUCUGUAACUAACACUGAGGCGCGAAAGCGUGGGGAGCAAACGGGAUUAUAUACCCUGGUAGUCCACGCCGUAAACGAUGAGUGCUAAGUGUUGGGGGGUUUCCGCCCCUCAGUGCUGCAGCUAACGCAUUAAGCACUCCGCCUGGGGAGUACGGUCGCAAGACUGAAACUCAAAUGAAUUGACGGG